UACGUAGGGUCCGAGCGUUGUCCGGAAUUAUUGGGCGUAAAGAGCUCGUAGGUGGUUUGUUACGUCUGCUGUGAAAACCUAGGGCUUAACCCUGGGCUUGCAGUGGAUACGGGCAGACUAGAGGUAGGUAGGGGAGAAUGGAAUUCCUGGUGUAGCGGUGAAAUGCGCAGAUAUCGAGAGGAACACCUGCGGCGAAGGCGGGUUGCUGGGCCGACACUGACGCUGAGGCGCGAAAGCUAGGGGAGCAAAUGGG
rnacentral:rRNA from 1 species